UAGUGAUCUAGCAAAAAUAUGAUGCAUUAAAUUUAGAAUUUAAAGAUAGUUUCUUAAACUGUUCACUAA
rnacentral:tRNA from 1 species